rnacentral:rRNA from 1 species
UACAGAGGGUGCGAGCGUUGUCCGGAAUCACUGGGCGUAAAGGGCGCGUAGGCGGCUUGACAAGCGUGCGGUGAAAGCUCGGGGCUCAACCCCGAGUCGGCCGUGCGAACUGUCAAGCUUGAGCACAGUAGAGGCAGAUGGAAUUCCGGGUGUAGCGGUGGAAUGCGUAGAGAUCCGGAAGAACACCGGUGGCGAAGGCGGUCUGCUGGGCUGUGGCUGACGCUGAUGCGCGACAGCGUGGGGAGCAAACAGG